UACGUAGGGCGCAAGCGUUAUCCGGAAUUAUUGGGCGUAAAGAGCUCGUAGGCGGUCUGUCGCGUCUGCUGUGAAAACCCGAGGCUCAACCUCGGGCCUGCAGUGGGUACGGGCAGACUAGAGUGCGGUAGGGGAGAUUGGAAUUCCUGGUGUAGCGGUGGAAUGCGCAGAUAUCAGGAGGAACACCAAUGGCGAAGGCAGCUCGCUGGAACGGUACUGACGCUGAGGCGCGAAAGCGUGGGGAGCGAACAGG
rnacentral:rRNA from 1 species